AGAACGAACGCUGGCGGCAGGCUUAACACAUGCAAGUCGAACGCUCGUAGCAAUACGGGAGUGGCAGACGGGUGAGUAACGCGUGGGAACAUACCCUCCGGUUCGGAAUAGCUCAGGGAAACUUGGAUUAAUACCGGAUACGGCCGAGAGGCGAAAGAUUUAUCGCCGGAGGAUUGGCCCGCGUUCGAUUAGCUAGUUGGUGAGGUAACGGCUCACCAAGGCGAUGAUCGAUAGCUGGUCUGAGAGGAUGAUCAGCCACAUUGGGACUGAGACACGGCCCAAACUCCUACGGGAGGCAGCAGUGGGAUAUUGGACAAUGGGCGCAAGCCUGAUCCAGCCAUGCCGCGUGAGUGAUGACGGCCUUAGGGUGUAAAGCUCUUUCGCUCGGGACGAUAAUGACGGUACCGAGAUAAGAAGCCCCGGCUAACUUCGUGCCAGCAGCCGC
rnacentral:rRNA from 1 species